rnacentral:sRNA from 2 species
UUAAAUAUUUGUUAGGUGAGGCUCCUAUAUGGACACAAGCUACUGCCGCGAAAGAAUCGAGAGACUCUUAGUUGGUAGAACAGGAAUAAUCGUGAAGGUUAUUCAUAAAGUAGCUGAUACGGUGUAUCUACGCCCUAUAGUGCUAAAGCUCAACAUUGAUCAUGAUG